rnacentral:rRNA from 1 species
UUAUAAGAGACAGCAGCCGCCGCGGUAAUACAGAGGGUGCGAGCGUUAAUCGGAUUUACUGGGCGUAAAGCGUGCGUAGGCGGCUUUUUAAGUCGGAUGUGAAAUCCCUGAGCUUAACUUAGGAAUUGCAUUCGAUACUGGGAAGCUAGAGUAUGGGAGAGGAUGGUAGAAUUCCAGGUGUAGCGGUGAAAUGCGUAGAGAUCUGGAGGAAUACCGAUGGCGAAGGCAGCCAUCUGGCCUAAUACUGACGCUGAGGUACGAAAGCGUGGGGAGCAAACAGGAUUAGAUACCCGCGUAGUCCCUGUCUCUUAUAC